rnacentral:lncRNA from 1 species
GUGGAAAAGAAACAGAGAAGACUGAGCAAGUACCUGGAGGAGCCAGAGGUACUCAGGAUUGGGAACAGCACACUGUCUCUGUCUGAAAGCAGUACAGCAACUGGGAAAAAGACUCCAAAAAGAGAAACAGGGUGCCCAUUGAGACCUCAUCAUCGUCUGGAUUUUACAAAUUGUAAUGACAGGGAAAAUUUUCUGGAAUUCUCACAAGUAUAUUCCAAUCUGCCACUUCCAGUGUAACUCAUGAUGAGAAUAAAAAGAUGAAGACAUUUGCAGUUAUGAGGAGCCAAGGGAGUCCUUAGUGUUCUUGUUACUUUUGCUAUUUUCCACCACUGUGAACUGUUGCCUCUGCCAUGUGCCACUCUACCUUGGAGCCAGCCAAGUAUGGACUGUGAGACCUCCACAAACUGUGAGCUAAAUAAACCUCUCCUUCCUUAAUUUUGGGCAUCAACUAUUUUGUUCCAGCAAUGAGAGAGAAGUUACCAAAACAAAUAC